UCCCAGACUCCUACGGGAGGCAGCAGUGAGGAAUAUUGGUCAAUGGCCGUAAGGCUGAACCAGCCAAGUAGCGUGAGGGAAGACUGCCCUAUGGGUUGUAAACCUCUUUUAUGCGGGGAUAAAGGUGUCCACGUGUGGAUGUUUGCAGGUACCGCAUGAAUAAGGACCGGCUAAUUCCGUGCCAGCAGCCGCGGUAAUACGGAAGGUCCGGGCGUUAUCCGGAUUUAUUGGGUUUAAAGGGUGCGCAGGCGGAGGUGCAAGUCAGCGGUCAAAUUGCGGGGCUCAACCCCGUACUGCCGUUGAAACUGGCAGUCUCGAGUUGGAGAGAAGUAUGCGGAAUGCGCGGUGUAGCGGUGAAAUGCAUAGAUAUCGCGCAGAACUCCGAUUGCGAAGGCAGCAUGCCGGCUCCACACUGACGCUGAGGCACGAAAGCGUGGGUAUCGAACAGGAUUAGAUACCCGGGUAUU
rnacentral:rRNA from 1 species